UUGAUUGGGGGAUUCGACUUUCGAGGGCGUCGGUUGAAGUGAUCGAUUAUUGAUAAGUAAGCUCCAAUUUGGCCUUCAAGAGUAAAAUCUUACUUAUUCAUUUUCCCGAUUUCGGUGCUCACAGUUAAAAUAACAAUUUUCAUCAUGACACGAUUUUCAGUUAACUGAGGUAGGUAGGAGUUAGGACGGAAGAAAGACGCUCGGAGGCUCUGACAGGUGCGUGGUCUCCAUCAGACCCCAUGCUCAUCAGAUGCUGAAUCUGGAAAGGCAUCGGCCAAAGUUCCAAACCACCAAGACAACGAAGUUACGAACGUCUGCACUAGCCCAAUCCUAACCCUAACCUCUGUCAGUAAUUCAAAACUUUUCAGCUUCCAGUCUUCCACUUUUGAGAAUUAUAACGAUGGACCAGGACCUACCUGUGGAUUGCCCAGGAUUGGUAGGAGAAAGACCACUUUCUCCGUCCCUUAUACCUGCAGGCAGCCCCACCUGAGGCAGAUGGCAGUGAAGAUUCUGGGGCUUGUUUAGGAGCACUGGCAGCAAGUCAUGAUUGUAUGGAG